UCUCGCAUUUCAACACACAGUAUGGUGUGUCAGUGCGUGUUCUAUAUAUUUAAAAUCUAAAAACAAUGUACAGUGUACUACUACUACUACUAUCAAGUUACUUCUGCUACCGAGUAGAGUUUGUUAUUGUACACCUGUAGAAAGCGACAAACCGACACCAAAACACUGUUAACCCGCCGCCGCGGUUGCCGCCGCCGCCGCCGUGCAAUGACUACUCGGAGGAGAUCAUCCUCCCCGUUCCAAUCCUUGAAACUCUCUACUAUUUCAGCAAUUACAGUUUUGCUUCUCUGUCUCGCUUUUGUUUCUGCUUUGGCACUUGCAUUCGCGCUUCCAGAAUCAGAUCAACAGCUAAGUGGAGGUAGUAAUGGCACUCUUAAUGGUAGUGAAUUAAGCAAUGGACCUCGGAGUAGGCCUAAAGAGGAUAGUUUUGCUGAUAUGAUCGAUCGAGCCCUCGAAAAAGAGUUCACUGAAAAUGAUAAGGAUGAAGCUAAUGAUGCGGGCAGCUUCAAUAAUAGUGUGGCCGAGCAGCAGGCGGUGUUGGAGACUGUGGCUAGAGUUAAGCCCAAGAAAAAUGACACGAAGAAAGAGGACAAAUCCUUUCAGCUUCAUCAUGUUUUCAAACUUGAUAAUGACCAUGGAGCAGAAGAAACCCCAACAUUAAUAGAUAGGAAGGAUAAUGUCUUUAUCAUAUCUAAUUUCAAGUCCAAGUAUCCGGUAUUACAGUUAGACUUGCGGUUGAUAUCAGAUCUAGUAGUGGUCAUUGUUUCUGCAACAUGUGGUGGAAUUGCCUUUGCUUGUGCGGGUCAACCGGUUAUAACUGGAUACUUACUAGCAGGAUCUAUUGUUGGACCUGGAGGUUUUAAUGUUGUCAGUGAAAUGGUGCAAGUUGAGACAGUGGCUCAGUUCGGUGUAAUUUUUCUUCUUUUUGCGUUGGGGCUGGAGUUCUCAACCACAAAGCUCCGUAUUGUUCGAGCUGUUGCAGUUCUUGGAGGCUUACUUCAAGUUCUUCUUUUUAUAUGUCUAUGUGGAAUUACAGCCUCGUUGUGUGGCGGUAAACCUUCAGAGGGUGUAUUUGUUGGAGCAUUUCUCUCAAUGUCUUCUACAGCUGUGGUGUUGAAGUUUUUGAUGGAAAAGAAUAGUACAAAUGCACUUCACGGCCAGGUUACAAUCGGCACUCUUAUUUUGCAGGAUUGUGCUGUAGGUCUUCUGUUUGCCUUGCUUCCAAUCCUGGGAGGCACUUCCAAUGUUCUGCAAGGGUUAAUAUCCAUGACAAAGUCGUUGGUCAUGUUGCUGUCAUUUUUGGCUAUUUUGUCAAUAUUAUCACGGAAGUGUGUGCCAUGGUUCCUGAAGCUGAUGAUAAGCUUAUCAUCACAGACCAAUGAACUGUAUCAACUGGCUUCAGUGGCAUUUUGCCUCCUUCUAGCUUGGUGUAGCGAUAAGCUAGGUCUAAGCUUAGAGCUGGGUUCAUUUGCUGCUGGAGUGAUGAUUUCAACAACUGAUCUUGCCCAACAUACUCUUGAACAAGUUGAACCGAUACGCAACUUCUUUGCAGCUCUUUUUCUUGCCAGUAUUGGGAUGCUCAUCCAUGUUCAUUUCCUCUGGAACCAUGUUGAUAUCCUACUUGCAUCAGUGAUAUUAGUGGUCAUUGUUAAAACUGUUGUGACUUCUGCAGUUGUUAAGGCCUUUGGCUACAACAACAAAACUUCACUGCUAGUUGGAAUGUCUUUAGCACAAAUAGGAGAAUUUGCUUUUGUAUUGCUCAGUCGUGCUUCUAAUCUUCAUCUUGUUGAGGGUAAAUUGUACCUGCUGCUUCUGGGGACAACAGCUCUCAGUCUGGUGACUACGCCAUUGCUUUUCAAGCUUAUACCUGCUGUAGUUCACCUUGGUGUGCUGCUUAGGUGGUUCCCACCUGAUAGUCCAAAUGAGUUUGGAUUCAAAAGUGACAACUUCCGAUCUGAUAGUGCUAAACAAAGGAUUGCACUGAUAUCCAAGGAUCUGAUUCAUAAAGGUUAAAUUUGUGAGGUAGGUCUAGAUGACCUAUUUUACUUGGAGAAGUUUCCUAGUUCACAGCUUGAAAGGUGCUACAAAGGUUGUGGACUUGGCUAAUUCUUGCCUCUUCCUAAUGCGAGGGACUUGAUAUGUUUUUCUUGUUAUAUAUCUUGAGCAAACUAGAGAAAGGCAAAGCUCCACGUGCCUCCAAAGGUGGGAGAGACCUGGAUAUAGAGGUAUACUAACUGCGAACACAGCUAACAACUCGUUCACCUAAGGUUUGACGAAAUUCUGUCACAAUUGUUCAAUACUCAAGCUUGCAUGGUAAGUGCAGAUCACGCCACUUGCAAUCUUCCAUUUUCAACAUUACAGUCAAGUGCAUGUACUGGUUAUCCUACUUCCAUCCUUUAGCUGACAGGGUUAUGAUGGCGAUAUAGUAGAGUUGUAUUCUUUAUACUCGUGAACUGUCAAAUGUAUUUGGAGAUGAGAGAGAAGUCUUUAGAUCUAGUGGCUGCACUUGCAAACAAAACUUCACAUAAAAGUUGUUGAAAGCUACUGUUCUCACAUUUAAUUAGAUGCACAGAUUACGCAGACGUCAAGGUCCGUCCUCCUUUUAUUCAUUUUUUUUCCAUUUGAUAAUUUAGUGUUUAUCGUAAUUUAUUUGAGGGUAAAAUGCAGAUUUAUCGUUGUUGUUUGGACUUCUGUCAGGACUUAAAUUGUGGUUAUGUUGACUUCACAUUGUUUUUCUUCCAACAUGUUUUCCAUGUAAUUCAGAAGAAUGAUGUCACUAACCUAGUAGCCAAUCUGUUUUCUAAGGUUUA